rnacentral:lncRNA from 1 species
GUUCAAUCUCGAACUUUAUCUCCCUAGCAGGUGGUAGUCCUGGAAGCUCUUCUGGAAAGACAUCCAGAAAUUCUCUGACAACUGGCACUGAGGCUGGCUCCCUGACCUGACUAUCUAGCUCUCUCACGUGAGCUACAUACCCCUGACAUCCCUUCCUAAGCAGCCUACGAGCCUGUAGGGCCGAUAUCAGACCUCUAGGCGUACCCCUCUUGUCUCCUCUGAAGACGACCUCUGACCCGUUUUGAUCUCUGAACCUGACUACCUUGUCCCUGCAGUCCAAGGUAGCACCAUGGGUAGAUAGCCAAUCCAUCCCUAGAAUGACGUCAAAAUCUGUCAAGUCUAGAACCACAAGGUCGGCGGAGAGGCAUCUUCCCUC